rnacentral:lncRNA from 1 species
GUAAAUUUCACCAGAACUGGUAAAUUUCUGCAAGAUGUGUUUUUAAACAAGAAGUGGCCCUAUUCUCCACCAGUAUUGCAGAUAUGUAGUAAAUUUCCAACAGAGUAGGAUGGAUGAGAAACCAGACGUGCUUGCAACUACAUUAUUUUGUUUUUCUAUCAGGCUUGACCAGGAAAAGCAGCCUAGCCCAACUUGGUGGUUGCCUGCAGGGACAGAAAGAGUGGAGAAUCUCGUGGUCCAUUUCUCUUCCUCCCCUGCUUUUUACAGUUUCAUGGAGCCAUGGGAGCUCUGGAAGUGAACUCAGACAAGAAGAGGUCAUGGCUGGAGGAACAAACCACACGUGGGACUAUGUUUCUUUUCUGCAGAUGGUAGUCAUGCACUGCUCAAACAGAGCUGUCUUGCCACAUCCAUGUCCAAAUGGGAUGAUUAGGGCAUUCUUCAGGCACUGA